rnacentral:rRNA from 1 species
UGGCGGCAUGCCUAAGACAUGCAAGUCGAACGAGAAAGCCUAAUGACGUUGGGAAAGCGAGCGGCGGAUGGGUGAGUAACACGUGGGGAACCUGCCCCUAAGUCUGGGAUACCAUUUGGAAACAGGUGCUAAUACCGGAUAAUAAAGCAGAUCGCAUGAUCAGCUUUUGAAAGGCGGCGUAAGCUGUCGCUAAGGGAUGGCCCCGCGGUGCAUUAGCUAGUUGGUAAGGUAACGGCUUACCAAGGCGACGAUGCAUAGCCGAGUUGAGAGACUGAUCGGCCACAUUGGGACUGAGACACGGCCCAGACUCCUACGGGAGGCAGCAGUGGGGAAUCUUCCGCAAUGGACGAAAGUCUGACGGAGCAACGCCGCGUGAACGAUGACGGCCUUCGGGUUGUAAAGUUCUGUUAUACGGGACGAAUGGCGUAGCGGUCAAUACCCGUUACGAGUGACGGUACCGUAAGAGAAAGCCACGGCUAACUACGUG